AACGAACGCUGGUGGCGUGCUUAACUCAUGCAAGUCGAACGGUAAGGCCCUUCGGGGUACACGAGUGGCGAACGGGUGAGUAACACGUGGGUGAUCUGCCCUGCACUUCGGGAUAAGCCUGGGAAACUGGGUCUAAUACCGGAUAGGACCACUGCCUGCAUGGGUGGUGGUGGAAAGCUUUUGCGGUGUGGGAUGGGCCCGCGGCCUAUCAGCUUGUUGGUGGGGUGAUGGCCUACCAAGGCGACGACGGGUAGCCGGCCUGAGAGGGUGACCGGCCACACUGGGACUGAGAUACGGCCCAGACUCCUACGGGAGGCAGCAGUGGGGAAUAUUGCGCAAUGGGCGCAAGCCUGAUGCAGCGACGCCGCGUGAGGGAUGACGGCCCUCGGGUUGUAAACCUCUUUCAGCACCGACGAAGCGCAAGUGACGGUAGGUGCAGAAGAAGGACCGGCCAACUACGUGCCAGCCGCCGCCGUAAUAC
rnacentral:rRNA from 1 species